rnacentral:lncRNA from 1 species
CUGGAGGCACUGGAGACAAAGAUCAGCCACGUGGCAGUCAACCAUGUCUAUCUGACCAAGUUCCAAUGAAAACUCUGGACACCAAGGCUUGAAGACUCCUCUGCGGGAGAGGAGAAUAGCUGUACUCUAAGCAGUUCGCAGGGAGCAUCUUUCAGCAGCUGAAACAGCUUUGCGGCCUUGCUGUAAUGAAGAUCUGCCAGCACCCGGUGUUGUUUCCUAAGGUGUUCAUCACCAACCUAGAACCAAACCAAAACAAGCAACAAAUCCUUCACGAGAAAGAAAGAAAACAACUGUGUAAGCAGACAUCAGUGUAAACCUUAGCACUGUCUCUUGAUGAGAUAAGAGGAGGAUGGCAGUGACAGGAGUGUGGUGGCGAGCCAGUCACCUGCAGUCAACCACGGCUCAUUGCUCUCACCAUGCCUGUUACAUGAAGGUAUGUAUGUAUAGGAAAAAGCACUGAAAAACUCUCCAGUUUCAGGCAUCCACUGGGGAUCUUGGAACGCAUCCUCCAAGGAUAAGUGGGGUCUACUGUACAACACUUAAGUAUAACCCUCUUCACUAUUAACCAAAUGAUAUUAAAAUAAGCAAAGAAAAACGUAUACUCCUCUAGCUAUGAAUUGUCUAAAACUCUGGGAGGCAAACAUCAAGUAAUAUUCAGUAUAACAAUUUAAGAGCAUAAUAAAACAACCCCAUGAGACAUUAGGUCCAACAAUACAUAUUACGGCUUCAUGUAGUUCGUUUCUAGAAUUAGCAUUUAAGUACUAACCUGACUGGAAGCACUGGG